AUUGGGGCUUCAUUGUUCCCGCUGGGCCGGGCGGUUUAGUGUAAUUGCCGCCGGAGGAGGAGGCGGAGUAACCUCUGGUCAGCCGAGAAACCCCACUAUCCCGUAGCCAUAACCGCUUAAACGAUUUGGGAGGUAGUGAAGGGCAGGGAGCUGGACCCGGAGGCGCCGGCCGCGACAGCAGCAGCCAUGGAGGACGAGAUGCCCAAGACUCUGGCCUGUGAAAAAUGGAACCAAAUUCUCUGAGGACUAAAGUCCCAGCUUUCUUAUCUGAUUUGGGGAAGGCCACAUUGAGGGGAAUCAGAAAGUGUCCCCGAUGUGGCACAUACAAUGGAACCCGGGGACUGAGCUGUAAGAACAAGACAUGUGGAACCAUAUUCCGCUACGGUGCACGCAAGCAGCCUAGUGUUGAAGCUGUCAAAAUCAUUACAGGCUCUGAUCUUCAGGUCUACUCAGUGCGGCAAAGAGACCGGGGCCCUGAUUACCGAUGCUUUGUGGAGCUCGGGGUUUCAGAGACGACAAUCCAGACAGUGGAUGGGACGAUCAUCACUCAGCUGAGCUCUGGACGGUGUUAUGUCCCCUC
rnacentral:sRNA from 1 species